CCAGUCAGUUCUUCCUUUUUAUUUCUGGCUAGUCAUUCGUUGUCAAGGUAUGUUCAGUUUGUCAUCCAUUCAUUAGUUGAAGGACUUUCAGCGCCCCCAGAGCUCUGCAGAAGGCAGGUGGGGACACAUGGAAAUACCUGGGCAGGGGGAAAAUAGUAUUGGCAAGAGACAAUGCCGGCUUGGAGUGGAGCAGGGAGGCGAGGGUGGAGAGAAAGAGAUGAGAUCAGGAGAUGUUGAGGAGACACUGUCAAGAAUCUGGUGAAGUGCGGUGGAGGUGGCUGCCAGGAACAGGGAGUGACAGGAUUGUCACCUGCUCUUGCAUCCAAUUCAACUGCUUAGGAAAACAAUGCCUUAUUAUAAAAGUCCUACAUCUUUAUUGUAGAAUACAAAAUGUAGAAAGAAAAACAAGAACAACAUGUCUAGGUCCAUUAUGCACUGAUAACUACUAUUAAUAUUUGGUAUUCACACAUAGAGUGAUAUCUAUAUCUAUAUUGAUAUUAUAUAUAUAUAGUCAUGUGUUGCUUAACAACAGGGACACAUUCUGAGAAUGUAUCAGUAGGUGAUUUCAUUACUGUGCAAACAUCACAAGAGUGCACUUUUUUUCCCUUCAACUUUUUUUUUUUUUUCUUUUGGAGAUAGAGUCUCACUCUGCCUCCAGGCUGGAGUGCAGUGGCACGAUCUCAGCUCACUGCAACCUCCACUUCCUGGGUUCAAGUGAUUCUCAUGCCUCAGCCUCCCCAGUAGCUGGGACUACAGGCGUGCACCACCACGCCCAGCUAAUUUUUGUAUUUUUAGUAGAGAUGGGUUUUCACCAUGU
rnacentral:lncRNA from 1 species